rnacentral:rRNA from 1 species
UGCCUUCGGGAGCCUGAACACGGGUGCUGCAUGGCUGUCGUCAGCUUCGKGUCGUGAGAUGUUGGGUUAAGUCCCGUAACGAGCGSAACCCUUGUCCUUAGUUGCCAGCGGUUCGGCCGGGAACUCUAAGGAGACUGCCGGUGAUAAACCGGAGGAAGGUGGGGACGACGUCAAGUCAUCAUGGCCCUUAUGGGCAGGGCUACACACGUGCUACAAAGGCCAGUACAGAAGGUUGCCAACCCGCGAGGGGGAGCUAAUCCUGAAAAGCUGGUCGUAGUCCGGAUCGCAGUCUGCAACUCGACUGCGUGAAGUCGGAAUCGCUAGUAAUCGCGAAUCAGCAUGUYGCGGUGAAUACGKUCCCSSGCCUUGUACACACCGCCCGUCACACCAUGGGAGUGGGCUGCACCAGAAGUAGGUUGCUUAACCCGUAAGGGAGGCGCUUACCA